UUGUGUUUUGCCGUAUUUUAUUCCUAUUUGUUCUUGUUAAUUAGGUUUAUCAACCAGAUCAAUGUCACUAGAGAAGAGAAGAUCAACAAUGGGAAAUUGUUGCAAAUGGCUGAAGCUUCUGGUAAAGGGGAAAAAAGAGAGAGACAACGCGAGAUGCAAAACAUGGAAUUUGAGGUCUACGAUAAAUGGAUUCUACAACCAUUGAAUAGCAAAAUUAAAAAGGAUGGAGAUAACCUUCAAUUCAUAAUUUCUCUGGGGGAAAAAACCUAUAGAAUCCCCCAAAUUUCUUCCAUUAAAUCCCUAACUCGAAAAUUAUCCAAAUCUUCUUGAUUAUAUAUAAAUCCGUCUUUAAUUCGGUUUAUUUUCAUGAAUUUAAGAUUUCAUUGACAUUUUCCUGCUUUCGAGCAGCUACAUCUAUUUGGAGAUUCGUGUUGUUCCUCCGCCUCUUAUCGACGAGUCCUACUGAUCAUCUUUCUUUUUUGCUCUUCCUCACUAUGCUUUCAGGGUCAGUUUUUUGGGUGAUUUGCUCAUCCUUUUAGAUGUUUGGCUUGAAUUGUUGUUUGCCGUUAUGAGUGGACUCAUCAUCUGCUAAGUCGAACGAACCUUAUAAGAAGUUUAUUGGAAUCCACGAGAGAUUGACACUCUUGUUCCUUGUCCAAGAAGUGAGUACAACUUUUGAAGGUAGAGAAAAUAUCAAAGCCGUGAGUCAAGAAGAAAGUCAUGAAAUCGAGUUCUGUUUUUUUUUUAAUUUCACAUAUUAUUUAUCAUUUAUUUAUACAUUUAGUAUUGUCCUAUAUGAUUUUUUAUGAUGCCAUCGAUGAAUAACAGGGUAGACAUUUCACAAAGAGCGAUGAUCUACAAAUUAUCAUAUUGUGCAUGCUAAUUAUGAUAAAAAUUAAUAUAUGUUUAAAGGUUGUUGUUGU